rnacentral:rRNA from 1 species
CGGUAAUUCCAGCUCCAAUAGCGUAUACUAAAGUUGUUGCAGUUAAAAAGCUCGUAGUUGGAUUUCUGCGGGGACGGAGCGGCCGGUCGCAACUUGCGACUCGAGCUAGCGCUUUCCCCGCAUCCUGCCGCGAACCGUGCUACCAUUAGCUUGGUGGCGCUGGGGAUCGGCUCGAUUACUUUGAGAAAAAUAGAGUGUUCAAAGCAGGCCACACGCCUUGAAUAAGUUAGCAUGGAAUAAUGACUAAGGACUUUGGUUCUUUUCGUUGGUGUUCGGGACUGAAGUAAUGAUUGAUAGGGACAGUUGGGGCGGUCCGUAUUCCAAAGCGAGAGGUGAAAUUCUUAGACCUUCGGAAGACGAACAGCUGCGAAAGCGUUCCGCAAGGAUGUUCCCUUUGAUCAAGAACGAAAGUUGGGGGAUCGAAGACGAUCAGAUACCGUCGUAGUCUCAACUAUAAACUAUACCAGCUAGGGAUCGGCCAACGUUUAAUUAUUCGACUUGGUCGGCACCUUAUGAGAAAUCAAAGCAUCUGGGUUCCGGGGGGAGUAUGGUCGCAAGGCUGAAACUUAAAGGAAUUGACGGAAGGGCACCACCAGCCGUGGAGCCUGUGGCUUAAUUUGACUCAACACGGGAAAACUUACCAGGUCCGGACAUAGUAAGGAUUGACAGAUUGAUAGCUCUUUCUUGAUUCUGUGGGUGGUGGUGCAUGGCCGUUUUUAGUCGGUGGAUGUGAUCUGUCUGCUUAAUUGCGUUAACGGACGAGACCCCAGCCUGCUAAAUAGCGCGGCCGAGCUUUGCUCGGUGCGAGCUUCUUAGAGGGACCAUGAUGCGCGAUAGCACAAGGAAGUUUGGGGCAACAACAGGUCUGUGAUGCCCUUAGAUGUUCUGGGCCGCACACGGGCUACACUGGCGCCUGCAACGAGCAUAUCAGCUGGCCCGAGAGGGUCUUGGCUAAUCUUUGGAACCGGCGCCGUGCUUGGGAUUGACCAUUGCAAUUGUUGGUCAUGCAACGAGGAAUGCCUUGUAAACGCGAGUCAUCAGCUCGCAUUGAAUACGUCCCUGCCCUUUGUACACACCGCCCGUCGCUCCUACCGAUGAAUGUUCCGAUGAAAUUUUCGGAGAGCACCAGAGAACGGGGCUCUGCCUUGCAGAUCUGGAGGCUCAAAGUCACUUAAAUCUGAACAUUUCGAGGAAGGAGAAGUCGUAACAAGGUAGCCG